rnacentral:rRNA from 1 species
UACAGAGGUCCCAAGCGUUGUUCGGAUUCACUGGGCGUAAAGGGUGCGUAGGCGGUCGGGUAAGUCUGAUGUGAAAUCUCACAGCUUAACUGUGAAACUGCAUUGGAUACUAUCCGGCUCGAGGAAUGGAGGGGAGACUGGAAUACUUGGUGUAGCAGUGAAAUGCGUAGAUAUCAGGAGGAACACCGGUGGCGAAGGCGGGUCUCUGGGCCGUUACUGACGCUGAGGAGCGAAAGCGUGGGGAGCGAACAGG